rnacentral:rRNA from 1 species
AGCGAACGCUGGCGGCAUGCCUAACACAUGCAAGUCGCACGAAGGUUUCGGCCUUAGUGGCGGACGGGUGAGUAACGCGUAGGAAUCUAUCCAUGGGUGGGGGAUAACACUGGGAAACUGGUGCUAAUACCGCAUGAUACCUGAGGGUCAAAGGCGCAAGUCGCCUGUGGAGGAGCCUGCGUUCGAUUAGCUAGUUGGUGGGGUAAAGGCCUACCAAGGCGAUGAUCGAUAGCUGGUUUGAGAGGAUGAUCAGCCACACUGGGACUGAGACACGGCCCAGACUCCUACGGGAGGCAGCAGUGGGGAAUAUUGGACAAUGGGGGCAACCCUGAUCCAGCAAUGCCGCGUGUGUGAAGAAGGUCUUCGGAUUGUAAAGCACUUUCGACGGGGAUGAUAAUGACAGUACCGGGAGAAUAAGCCCCGGCUAACUCCGUGCCAGCAGCCGCCGUAA